AUGAAUAUAUUUUGCGAGGGUCCCGAGUGAGCAGAGCGUUAGCGCCUGCUGCCGGGUUAAUAGGGAAGCCGGUGGAAGUCCGGCACGGUCCCGCCACUGUGAAACAGGAAUUUCUCCUCAUUGCCACUGGGCUAUUUUGGUCUGGGAAGGCGGAGAAAUAUGCAACGGCCUGUAAGUCAGGAGACCUGCCCUUUGCGAAUGAAUGUC
rnacentral:ncRNA from 2 species